UACAGGGGGUGCAAACGUUGCUCGGAAUCAUUGGGCGUAAAGCGCACGUAGGCGGUCUGUUAUGUCGGAUGUGAAAGCCCUUGGCUCAACUGAGGAAGUGCAUCCGAAACUGGCAGGCUAGAGUACUAAAGAGGAUCGCGGAAUUCCCGGUGUAGAGGUGAAAUGCGUAGAUAUCUGGAGGAACACCGGUGGCGAAGGCGGCAUCCUGGACCGGUAUUGACGCUGAGGCGCGAAAGCUAGGGGAGCAAACGGG
rnacentral:rRNA from 1 species